rnacentral:rRNA from 1 species
UAAUUGAAGAGUUUGAUCAUGGCUCAGAUUGAACGCUGGCGGCAGGCCUAACACAUGCAAGUCGAGCGGCAACACAGAGGAACUUGUUCCUUGGGUGGCGAGCGGCGGACGGGUGAGUAAUGCCUGGGAAAUUGCCCGGUAGAGGGGGAUAACCAUUGGAAACGAUGGCUAAUACCGCAUAACCUCGCAAGAGCAAAGCAGGGGACCUUC